UUGAAGUUUCGGGGUUAGUAGGUUGGUCAUGCCUCUGGUAUGUACUGGUCUCACUGAUUCCUCCUUCCUGAUGAACCGUAAUGCCAUUAAUUUGGUGGUUCGGGGUAAUUUGGACUGUUACUUAGAAAAAAUUAGAGUGUUUAAAGCAAGCUAACGCUUGAAUACAUUAGCAUGGAAUAAUAAAAUAGGACGUUCGAUCCUAUUUUGCUGGUUUCUAGGAUUGACGUAAUGAUUAAUAGGGAUAGUUGGGGGCAUUAGUAUUCAAUUGUCAGAGGUGAAAUUCUUGGAUUUAUUGAAGACUAACUACUGCGAAAGCAUUUGCCAAGGAUGUUUCAUUAAUCAAGAACGAAAGUUAGGGGAUCGAAGACGAUCAGAUACCGUCGUAGUCUUAACCAUAAACUAUGCCGACUAGGGAUCGGAUGAUGUUUAAUUUUAAUGACUC
rnacentral:rRNA from 1 species